UCAAACUCAUUCCUCUGCUCCUCAUGAUACUCCCUCCUUCUCUCAUCUGCGGCCAGCCUCUGUCUCUGCUCAGCUAAUAAGACAACAAAAUGUGAGAGGAUAAUAAAAGAAAUAAUUUUCACAGCCCUCCUGCCGCGUCGUUUGAUGAAGCUGGAGGCAUCUGUCUCUGGCAUGAAGAUCUUCCUCAGUGCACCUUUGGUGAAGAAGAACAUUGAUGAGGAGUAGAAACUCUUGACAAAGAUCUAAAGCAACACUGUGAAGGUUUUUGUUCACCUUGAGGACUGGCUGCCUUCUUAUCUGACACAGCGGUGCUGUCGGCUCCAUGGAACACUGUAACAGAGGAAACACGUCUGAGACUCAAGGCUGUUGCACUGGGUAAUCUUUGAAGUUACUGAUGCAUUGUAGACUUUCUGGAAGCUCAAUGAAGGUCUGGGAAGCCCUUUAUAUCCUGAAAGAACUCAAAUGCUGCUUGCACUGAGGAUCAAUGUUUUGGUCAAAGGGCUCAGCGGGGUUUCACUGGAGACGCUGCACAGCAUGAUCCAGGCCUUCAAUGGUGCUGGCUCUGAUCAAUGGGACUCAGAUGAUCACUUCUUUGGGAGCAGAGGCUGUGGAGAGACCCGAGGCCAUCUCCCGGCAGGCUGACAUCAUCGCUGCAUUGACCCUGGAAGUCCUUAAGGGGACCACCAAAGCCUUUGAUAGUGGUGAGCUCGUGUAAACAAGUGACUGAUGUUUUGGAUGUGAGCAACGUAUUUAGACGCUGUUCUCAGUUCUGCAGACAGAAACUGUAAACACUGCAGUAAGCUUUCAGACUUGUCAGACAAAACAUAUUUGUGUAACACUGUCACACAUAUUAAGUUACAGUCCCUUGUCAGUAAUGCAGACCUGCAUCAGUUCUCUGAGAGUUUUGGGUUAUGCGAGCCCAGUCUCAUAAAAAUGCAUAUAAAUAAUACGCCAGAUAAAAAGAAAACUCAUAGUAUUGAUACGCAAAAAUGGACUUUGGCAUAUACAGUAUGAUACUCAUCUACUCCACGGCUCUUGGUUAUCAUUACAAAGUUCAAGAGAGAAUAACUUUCCUUAACCAAAUACUAGAAGGUUUCAUUUUGACUGCAGUACUGAAGUCAUGUUAACCAUGAGCUAAAACAGAUAGGUUUCUUUCUGUAGUUUCAGAGAACAAAGUGCUUUUCCACGCCUCCUCUAUUGACUCCCUGUCCACUAGUGCAGCCACGGAGGACCACGUGUCCAUGGGAGGCUGGGCCACACUAAAGCCCUCAGAGUGGUUGAGCACUUCAAUCAAGGUCCAAAACCUGAUAUCAGCCUACCAUUUAGCUCAAAUUGUUACUAUAAUGGUGGUGCCCCUAUUGGAUUACCAAGGCACGAGAGCACAAAGUGUAGUAGUACUUAAUAUUUUCCAACAGAAUCUCAUCAUGGCAAGUCAUAACUGGUUUAUG